GAUGAACGCUGGCGGCGUGCCUAAUACAUGCAAGUCGAGCGAACAGACGAGGAGCUUGCUCCUCUGACGUUAGCGGCGGACGGGUGAGUAACACGUGGAUAACCUACCUAUAAGACUGGGAUAACUUCGGGAAACCGGAGCUAAUACCGGAUAAUAUAUUGAACCGCAUGGUUCACUAGUGAAAGACGGUUUUGCUGUCACUUAUAGAUGGAUCCGCGCCGAAUUAGCUAGUUGGUAAGGUAACGGCUUACCAAGGCGACGAUGCGUAGCCGACCUGAGAGGGUACUCAGCCACACUGGAACUGAGACACGGUCCAGACUCCUACGGGAGGCAGCAGUAGGGAGUCUGCCGCAAUGGGCGAAAGCCUGACGGAGCAACGCCGCGUGAGUGAUGAAGGUCUUCGGAUCGUAAAACUCUGUUAUUAGGGAAGAACAAAUGUGUAAGUAACUAUGCAAGUCUUGACGGUACCUAAUCAGAAAGCCACGGCUAACUACGU
rnacentral:rRNA from 1 species